GAUGAACGCUAGCGGCAGGCCUAAUACAUGCCAGUCGGACGGGAUCUAUCGGAGAGCUUGUUCGAAGAUAGAGAGAGUGGCGCACGGGUGCGUAACGCGUGAGCAACCUACCCAUAUCAGGGGGAUAGCGCGGAGAAAUCCGGAUUAAGCCCGCAUACCACUGUGAUUUGGCAUCAUGUUACAGCUAAAUCUUUAUAGGAUCUGGAUGGGAUCGCGUGACAGUAGCUAGUUGGUGAGGUAACGGCUCACCAAGGCGACGAUGUCUAGGGGCUCUGAGAGGGGAAUCCCCCACACUGGUACUGAGACACGGACCAGACUCCUACGGGAGGCAGCAGUAAGGAAUAUUGGUCAAUGGGCGGAAGCCUGAACCAGCCGUGCUGCGUGCAGGACGACUGCCCUAUGGGUUGUAAACUGCUUGUGUCGAGGAAUAAACCUAUCUACGUGUAGAUAGCUGAACGUACUCGAAGCAUAAGGAUCGGCUAACACCGUGCCAGCCGCCGCCGUAA
rnacentral:rRNA from 1 species